rnacentral:tRNA from 13 species
GGAAAGAGCCGGGAUAGCUCAGUUGGUAGAGCAGAGGACUGAAAAUCCUCGUGCCACC